ACCCUAACAAAGAGAAUGCAGCCGCCAUCAUCGGUUCAUCAGCCGCCUCCACCUUAUUUUCCCCACCUAGUGUCGCCACUCCCUUCGUAGAGUCACCACCGCCACUACUCUCCCUCCGGUGACGACCAGCGCUGCAAGGAAGCCUCCGAGGCCGGUGCACCUGUCGCAUCGCCUUGUUGAAGACGUCACCGCCAUGCGACCUCACUGUGACGAUAGUAACCUCCAACCGCCGCCUGGCAUCUUGAGGGUGUUGUGCGGGUUGCGUCCUAGGUCAUAACCGAUGUCUGAUAGCAUUGUCCGGGGCUCACGAAGUAGGUUCGUUCAUGGGGGAUGGAAUCUGCCGAGUUAGAGUGGUGAAGAACCACCAUGNGGCGGCAGGCCAUGGUGGCUAUCGUCGUUAGCACCGCUGCUGAAGCUGUUGUUGUCACUAGUGUUGUAGUUUUCGUCGUCACCUUCCACCUCAUCUUUAGUCUCUUCGUCAACCACAACCUGCCAAAGUUCCUGCCGCCUCCGACCACCGUAGGUGGGAAUUUUGGACCUAUUUCUCGAGCAUAGAAGAGUAUUUUGCUCAAUGUGGCUGUGUGUGUAUGCGUAAUUAGUUUAGUGUUUGCGUGUGUGUGGUUGAUUAAGUUAGCUUUGUAAAAUGUAAUUUGAAUUUGGAAUAAUGAAAAAGAAACUCAAACCACCACUGUAAGGUGGUGGCCGCCGCUGUGAGCCGCCAUUGACCACAACUACCGAGGUGGGAGUGGGUGGUGCCCCACUAGCAAACCCUAAUGGGCUUAGAGAUCGGUUUUGGGCCUAUUGGGCCAUGUUUGGGUGGAAAACCCUAAUUAUGAGUAUUUGGGCCUUGGACCUAUUUGGACCCACUUUUGGGCCAUUGGGAUUGGAUUGUGAAUUAAGCCCAAACUAUUCCAUGCCAUUUAUCUAGUAGAAUAAAGGACUUAAUGGACUAAGUCCUUAAUGGGCUAAUUGAGAAAAUACUAAUAUUUGAGAAAUUAUCAGGACACACACGAGAAAUUCUUUAAUAAGUGAAAUAUUAAAUAAUAAUCAUUGGCAGAAAUUAAUCUAAGCAAUACUGGACUUAAUGAAUUAAGUCCUUAGUGGGUUAAGCCUUUAAUGGGUUAAGUAAGAAAAACUUAACCCUAAUAGUCAUUUUAUGUGAAACCCUAAUGUCACACGGGCCUUGAGUUGGGCUUUUCAAUUGGGUAAUUGGUAAUUUGGCCAAUAAUGGCCAUCCAAGAAUGAUUAUGGACUAGAAUAUUUAGUUGGGCUUUAGGGUAAGGCCCUAAUGAAGGAUUGGGCCCAAUAUGGAAAAUUAGGCCAUAAAUGAGCCAUAGUUUGGGCCUAGAGAGUUGUAUGAUAUUGGGCCCUUAGAAUGGGACAUGUUGGACUGGACUAGACAAUUGGGCCUUAAGGGAAGCCCAUGUAGAGGUUUGGGCCCAAUUUAGAAAAUUGGGCCAUAUGUUGGGCUUUGAUCCUUAGUUGACUUUGGGCCUAUGGAUUGGACCUUGGGCUUGGGUAAGCCAAGCUUGGGGUAAUGUAGUAAUUAUCCAAAGUAUGUGAUCAUAGUUAUGUAGUGGAACCCAAUUAUUAAUUGGGUGUUAUUUUGAUGUUGAAAGAGCGGGAAUCUGUCAUCUAGCAGCUUGGGUCAAGUCUGCGGGACUUCAGCGGUGUGGGAUUGGGUCAGCGGGACUUCAGAAGUGUGAGGUGAGUUUCCUUCCAGUAGGAACGGGUCUCCGGCCACAAUGCCGGCCCGUUUAGUUAGCAGUAGUUCCGGACCUCGGUCCGAUGCAAUAAUUAGGAUGCUUGAUGUCUUUGUGAUUCAAACAUGUCUAUGUGUUAUGUGUUCUGGACUUCAGUCCGAUGCAAUAUAUGUGUUUAUGCUAGUUGAUAUGUGUUUACACUAUGCUAUAUUCAGCCAGUUCCGGACUUCGGUCCGAUGCAGGGGACAAGGUCCCAGUCAGUUCCAGACUUCGGUCUGAUGCAGUUAGUUCCGGACUUUGGUUCGAUGCAGGGGACAAGGUCCCAGUCAGUUCCGGACUUUGGUCCAAUGCAGUUUCCGGACUUCGGUCUGAUGCAGUGGGCAAGGCCCAGUAUGUGCUUUAUAUGUUAUUGUAUGGUAUGUGGCAGUUUGGGGAGACUCACUAAGCUUCGUGCUUACAGUUUUCAGUUUUGGUUUCAGGUACUCAGUUUUCAAAAGAAGAGCUCGGGAAGAUUGCAAUACACACACCACCUGUUCAGCUUGGGAUGUUUAUACACAGAUAUUUUGACAACUGUUAUGAUAUUUUGAGAUACACAGUUUAUGAUCUAUAUAUGAUGUUUGAUGACUAUGGUUUUAUUAUUAAAUUAAAAUGAAAUUUUUAGACUGUGUUCUUGGGACGUUACACUGAUAAAAC
rnacentral:lncRNA from 1 species